GACGAACGCUGGCGGCGUGCUUAACACAUGCAAGUCGAACGGGUCUGCCCUGUUUUUUGCGGGGUGGGUCAGUGGCGAACGGGUGAGUAACACGUGAGUAACCUGCCCCUCACUUCUGGAUAACCGCUUGAAAGGGUGGCUAAUACGGGGUGUUCUGGCUGUGCCGCAUGGUGUGGCUGGGAAAGAUUCACUUUUGUGGUGUUUUGGUGGGGGAUGGGCUCGCGGCCUAUCAGCUUGUUGGUGGGGUGAUGGCCUGCCAAGGCUUUGACGGGUAGCCGGCCUGGGAGGGUGGGCGGUCAGACUGGGACUGAGAUACGGCCCAGACUCCUGCGGGAGGCAGCAGGGGGGGGUAUUGCACAAUGGGCGGAAGCCUGAUGCAGCGACGUCGCGUGAGGGAUGGAGGCCUGCGGGUUGUGAACCUCUUUCGCCGGUGAAGAAGGUCCUGCUCUUUGUGGUGGGGUUGACGGUAGCCGGGUUAUGAAGCGCCGGCUAACUACGUG
rnacentral:rRNA from 1 species